rnacentral:snoRNA from 1 species
GGUCUGGGUUGAUGAACAGAUUCCAAUCUGUUGCCUUCCUACCGAGCUCCUGACGGAGCACUGAUGCUGUUUCUACACGAGAUUACUGACCAGACC